AGGAAGAAGAAAAACCGUAUGUGGCAGAAACAAAGGCACACUCCUAUGUAUGAGAGAAAAUCGAGUUAUAAGUAUUUCAAAGGCAACAUACGGAAGAAGAAACUUAUUGACUUGUAAUCAGAAUGGUAAUGUUACAAAACGGUGGUGUGGUCGAACAAAUAAUGUUCUAGAAAAAGUAAAAACAAUGUGUAACAAUAAAAGAAAAUGUGAAAUAGUAUCACCAAACACAGUAUUUCAGGAUCCGUGUCCAGGAACAAUGGCUUACUUAACAAUUCGUUUUAUAUGUGUAAAAG
rnacentral:lncRNA from 1 species